GCCGGGCGUGGUGGCUCACGCCUGUAAUCCCAGCACUUUGGGAGGCCAAGAUGGGAGGAUGGCUUGAGCCCAGGAGUUCAAGACCAGCAUGGGCAACAUAGUGAGACCCUGUCUCAAAAUAACUAAUUAGUUUAUUAAUUAAUUUUUUUAAAAAAAUAAGUUUCUUUCUUUUCUUUUUUGUUUUUAAGAGCUAAGGUCUCACUAUGUUGCCCAGGCUGGCCUUGAACUCCUGGGCCCAAGCGAUCCUCCCAUCUC
rnacentral:SRP_RNA from 1 species